rnacentral:rRNA from 1 species
GGAAGGUCCGGGCGUUAUCCGGAUUUAUUGGGUUUAAAGGGAGCGUAGGCCGGAGAUUAAGCGUGUUGUGAAAUGUANAUGCUCAACAUCUGAACUGCAGCGCGAACUGGUUUCCUUGAGUACGCACAAAGUGGGCGGAAUUCGUGGUGUAGCGGUGAAAUGCUUAGAUAUCACGAAGAACUCCGAUUGCGAAGGCAGCUCACUGGAGCGCAACUGACGCUGAAGCUCGAAAGUGCGGGUAUCGAACAGGAUUAGAUACCCUGGUAGUCCACNCNGUAAACGAUGAAUACUAGNUGUUGGNUUUCAUAAGAA